rnacentral:ncRNA from 1 species
UUUAUGGAGAGUUUGAUCCUGGCUCAGGACGAACGCUGGCGGCGUGCCUAAUACAUGCAAGUCGAGCGGAGUUUUAAAAGCUUGCUUUUAAAACUUAGCGGCGGACGGGUGAGUAACACGUGGGCAACCUGCCCUGUAGACUGGGAUAACUUCGGGAAACCGAAGCUAAUACCGGAUAAUCUUUGGAGCUUCAUGG